rnacentral:lncRNA from 1 species
GUGAUCACCAACAUCAUCAACGGUGGGAUCGAGUGCGGGCACGGGCAAGACAGCCGCGUCGCUGAUCGGAUCGGGUUUUACAAGCGCUACUGCGACAUCCUCGGCGUUGGCUACGGCGACAACCUCGACUGCUACAACCAGAGGCCCUUUGCUUAAUUAAUUAGUUAUGUAUAAUCUUGGCCCUGGGCAAAAUACAAUAAGAGGGUCAUCUCCUAUCUACAUGUUGUAAGAUGUAACUAUGGUUACCUUUUAUGCGGAACAUAACAAAGGCAUCUCGUAUGGAUGCUUUGGUACGGAAUCUUACCAACAAUAUUGGCUCUUGGUAUGAAAUGAACACUAUACGCCUUUUAACGAGUUCAACAAUGGCAAUAGAGAUGCCUCAACAUUUAAGUAGGUACUAGGAAAUAUGCCCGUGCGCUUGCGAUGGGAGAAAAAUAAUCAGAUUAUGCAGAUGUGGUAGAGAUAAAAAAAAGUCCGAAUCAAAUGUCAGGAUGAGAUAAGGACUUUUAAAAUAUCAUUUCAAAAACUAUGCCUGGAUGUCAUGAUGAGAUAAGGCACUUUUAAAGUCAUUUUAAAAAUUAAAAUGUGAUGGCCUCAUAAUGACUUGAUUUCCUAAGGCACCACAAUGAAAUACUUUUUGGCUGAGCAAACUACAUUGACGGACCAUGCCUGAGCUAUACUGAUGAAUGAUGUGUCUCGUCUUGGCCUAGCGUACUGGUGUUUUUCAUAACGAGUAAAACUAUCGUACCAAAAUAAACAUAGUUGUGUAUGGAGGCAAAUUAACAUUUAGUCAUUUUUAUAUAGUUUACCAAAACGAACCCAUAUAAAGUUGUGUGAAUUUUUUGGGCUCAGCGCUGCUCAGAAAAAGGAAACCUUUUACUUACUCUGAAGCAUGAGACUAAAUAAAAUCGUAAAAACGACCUCUACAGAGCCCCUAAUAAAACCUCUACAUAAGUGACGGUUUGUUUUUUUCGUUAUUUACGGAACUGUUUCAAUUUUUUUAAAUUUCAUAGACAUUUUUUCAGAUUACUGAACAUCUUUUGAAUACCAUAAUUUCUAAAAAAUCAUGAACAUUUUUAGUUUCACAAACAUUUUAGUUAUGUAUAAUUUUGGCCCUGCACAAAAUACAAUAAGAGCAUCAUCUCCUAUCUACAUGUUGUAAGAUGUAACUAUGGUUACCUUUUAUGCGGAACAGAACAAAGGCAUCUUGUAUGGAUGCUUUGGUAC